rnacentral:rRNA from 1 species
CCUACGGGAGGCUGCAGUGGGGAAUAUUGGGCAAUGGAGGAAACUCUGACCCAGUCACGCCGCGUGAAUGAUGAAGGUCCUCGGAUUGGAAAGCUCUUUUUUAAGAGAAGAAGAAAGUGACGGUACCUUAGGAAUAAGCCUCGGCUAACUACGUGCCAGCGGCCGCGGUAAUACGUAGGAGGCGAGCGUUAUGCGGAAUGACUGGGUGUAAAGGGUGCGUAGGUGGUUUGGGAAGUUAGUAGCGUAACUCCAAGGCUCAACCUUGGAACUGCUACUAAAACUGUUGGACUUGAGUGCAGGAGGGGCAAGCGGAAUUCCUAGUGUAGCGGUGGAAUGCGUAGAUAUUAGGAGGAACACCAGUGGCGAAGGCGGGUUGCUAGACUGUAACUGACACUGAUGCACGAAAGCGUGGGGAGCAAACAGGAUUAGAUACCCGAGUAGUC